GACGUAGGGGGCCAGCGUUGUUCGGAAUUACUGGGUGUAAAGGGUUCGUAGGCGGUGCGGCAAGUCGGGAGUGAAAUCUCUGGGCUUAACCCAGAGACUGCUUCCGAAACUGCUGUGCUUGAGUGUGGGAGAGGCGCGUGGAAUUGCAGGUGUAGCGGUGAAAUGCGUAGAUAUCUGCAGGAACACCCGUGGCGAAAGCGGCGCGCUGGACCACUACUGACGCUGAGGAACGAAAGCUAGGGGAGCAAACAGG
rnacentral:rRNA from 1 species